CGCGUAACAGCGGGACCCUGGGAAGUGGUACGGUGAAGAUAAUCUUUUGACUUUUGACCCUGAAAUAUCAGAGUGAAUCGAAAGCAGUGAAAUAACGUCAUUAGCGACUUUCUUGAAGUUCUUGAACAUCAGAAAAAUAAUUCCUUGCGCGAGGUUUCAGCAAUUACAAGCGAUAUCAACGCUAUAGUGUACGUAAACGGAGGUUAUUCGAGUGCUGCCGGCACCGCAACAGAAAUUUUGGUUUGCGUUUAUAAAGACUACAGAAGCAAAUAUAUAAUUAUUUCCUUAAGUUAUCCGUUAUUGUAUAUUUCAAAGGAUUCAUUACUACGUGUACACUUCCUGAUUUGAAAAUGGCAGCAGGCGGUAGUUUGGCAUUGCUGAGUGUGUCAGAUAAGGCAGGUCUGUUGCCUUUUGCUGAGAAGCUCCAUACACUUGGCCUUACUUUGGUGGCAUCUGGUGGAACUGCCAAGGUCCUCAGGGAUGCAAAACUUGCUGUGAAAGAUGUUGCUGAAGUCACAGGAGCUCCAGAAUUGCUUGGAGGAAGAGUCAAGACAUUGCACCCGGCUGUACAUGCAGGCAUUCUGGCUCGGCUCACUGAAAAUGAUGAGAAGGACCUGGCCAAGAUGAGCUACAGUAUGAUCCGAAUAGUUGUGUGCAAUUUGUACCCAUUUGUAGACACGGUUGCCAAACCGGAUGUUACCGUUGCUGAAGCUGUGGAGAACAUUGACAUUGGUGGAGUGACAUUGCUGAGAGCUGCAGCUAAGAACCAUGCCCGAGUCACAGUGCUUUGUGACCCCUCAGACUAUGACCUGGUUGCAAAGGAACUGCAGACCUCACCUGAUAGGGAUACCACCUUGGCUACAAGGCAGCUCCUCGCUCUUAAGGCAUUCACUCACACUUCUGAUUAUGACCAGGCAAUAUCAGAUUAUUUCCGUAAGCAGUACAGUGCUGGGGUGUCACAACUAACUCUUCGCUAUGGCAUGAACCCACACCAAAAACAAGCUCAGAUCUUCACAACCCAUUCUGAACUUCCUCUUAAAGUUGUGAAUGGCUCUCCUGGGUUCAUCAACUUGUGUGAUGCCCUGAACGGAUGGCAGCUUGUGAAGGAGCUAAGAGCUGCACUGAACCUACCAGCAGCAACGUCGUUCAAGCAUGUGAGCCCUGCAGGGGCAGCUGUAGCUAUCUCUCUCAGUCCUGAACAGGCCAAGGUAUGUAUGGUGGAUGAUCUGCUGGAGCAUCUAACUCCUCUUGCUGUGGCAUAUGCUCGUGCACGUGGAGCAGAUAGAAUGUCCUCAUUUGGAGAUUUCAUAGCCCUCUCUGAUCCCUGUGAUACUGCCACUGCCCGCAUCAUCUCCCGUGAGGUGUCAGAUGGCAUCAUUGCACCAGGUUACAUGCCAGAAGCUUUGCAGCUGCUCACGAAGAAAAAGGGUGGUGGUUACUGUGUGCUCCAAAUAGAUCCUGCGUAUGAGCCAUGCUCUAUCGAGCAUAAGGUUCUCUUUGGUCUCACCAUGGAACAGCAGCGUAACAAUGCUGUCAUCGACAGACAGCUGUUCAGUAACAUUGUGUCGCAGAAGAAGGAGCUGCCAGAGAGUGCUGUAAGGGACCUGAUAGUUGCAACCAUUGCCCUGAAAUACACACAGAGUAAUUCAGUAUGUUAUGCAAAAGACGGGCAAGUGAUUGGUAUUGGUGCAGGUCAGCAGUCCCGUAUCCAUUGCACUCGUCUUGCUGGUGACAAGGCUGACAAUUGGUGGCUGCGGCAGCAUCCCAAUGUGAUCAACAUGAAAUUCAAGAAGGGUGUGAAACGAGCAGAGAUCUCAAAUGCCAUUGAUAACUAUGUGAAUGGGACUGUUGGGAAGGACAUGGAUGAAACAACAUGGGGAGCCAUGUAUGAGACCAUUCCCAGUCUGCUAACAGACAAGGACCGUGCUGAAUGGAAGGGCAAGCUGUCGGGUGUGGCUCUUGGAUCUGAUGCCUUUUUCCCUUUCAGAGAUAAUGUGGAUCGUGCCAGACAGAGUGGUGUUCAGUACAUCGCCAGUCCUGCUGGUUCAACAAACGAUGAAGAUGUCAUUAGAGCAUGUGAUGAUCAUGGCAUAACAUUGGUCCACACCAAUCUUCGUUUGUUCCAUCAUUGAGACUGGGAGACUGCUAUCAAGUGAUCAGAGGCUGAAAUGGGCAAGUCACAUAUUCAUCUGUACCAUAAGAGAGUGAGUGACAUUGUCAACUUCCUAACAAAUCUGUUGACCAGAUGUUCUCCUGUGCCAAGAUGUGUGUCAGGCACACAGGUUCUACCACAGAAAGAGCACUUAAAAGCAGGAGAUUGAAAAUAAAUUCAAGACAGCGGGAAAUUAUAAGGAAAAACAGGAUGAAUGGGACCCCUGCCCAGACCAUCAUAUGCAGAUAAUUUCAUACCUACUCCUACUCCGUAGUACUGCCUUUACUUAGUAGAGACGUGAUAUAGCAGCCAUAGAAAAGGUUUCAUGGACAAAGGUAAGUCAUUCUUCAGGCUGUUUCAGACUUUUGUGUGAUGAUGCUGUGUCUUCUGGUGUUUACAGGACUCAAUGAAGUGUGCAGUUUUAAUUCUGAAAAUUAUUACCUAUAAUUUUGAACUUUCUACACACCUUUUCACUGCUGUAAUCAUAAGGCAGUUAAUGCUGUUCCAGUUUGUAAGCACAAAUUAUGUUGAUAUAAUCUGUUGAUGCAUUGUAUACUUCUGAAGACAGAAAUACAUCUGGGAGGUAUUCUGAU